rnacentral:hammerhead_ribozyme from 1 species
ACUUAGCUGACAAGUUCAAAAUAGGACGAAACACGCGCCCUGGAU